UACCAGCACCCCGAGUGGUCGGGACGAUUAUUGGGCCUAAAGCAUCCGUAGCCGGUCAUGCUAGUCUUCCGUUAAAUCCAGCCGCUCAACGGUUGGGCUGCGGAGGAUACUACGUGGCUAGGAGGCGGGAGAGGCAAGCGGUACUCAGUGGGUAGGGGUAAAAUCCUUUGAUCCAUUGAAGACCACCAGUGGCGAAGGCGGCUUGCCAGAACGCGCUCGACGGUGAGGGAUGAAAGCUGGGGGAGCAAACCGG
rnacentral:rRNA from 1 species